CUCGAAGACUGAAUUGCUUGCUUCUGCUCCUAGGGAGCAGUUGCGACAAGAACAGCUGAAGAAUAGAGUUUUUGAAGAUCGUCUCCGAGUUCUUGAGGAGUAUGUUGAGGCAUCUCUAGUGAUGCUCCAUUGAUUUCAUAAACGGUUGGAGAUGAUGAUUAUUGGAGUGGAAUUUCUCAGGGAGAUGAUGAGUAUUCGGAUGUAGAUGAUUAGGUAAUAAUGCUCGUUUCAAUAAAAUGUUUGUCCCUUUAAAUGAAAGUUUUUUUUCUUCUUACCAUAUAUGCGUUAAUUACUGAACAGUAAUGCAAACUUACAUAGACUUUGCAAUUAAGAUACUUUGCAGUUGUUAUAUAUGUUUGUGUUGUAGAA